rnacentral:lncRNA from 7 species
UACCAUGUUUGUGAUAAAGCUUUGCUUGCUUAAAACAGCAGUGGAAGCUGACAUUGUAAACCAGCAUCUAACAAAGGAAGACUGACAGAAACAAAGAAAGGAUUCACAUUCUUUACAUAAAAGCUAUCUGUUUGUAACAAAGAAGGGUGUAAGUAAUGAAGCUGGCAGACCUCUUUAACAGCUGUAGUUACCGUGUAUUUCAGUGACUCAGUCAUAUGUGGGGGUUCCAGGCCCUUUUGGGAAGUGCAGUGCUGCAAAGGAUUUAGUACAUCACUGAAGUCAAACAUGGCUACGAAUCAGAUUCACUGCAUGUGACAGAAGAUGAGUAAGCUAAGCUCUGUUUCGGUGCUCUUGGAUGAGGUGACAUCACUUAUAUACUAUCUGAACCAUCUGAAACGUCUCUAAUAAUGAUAAAAGCAUUUUAGGCUGGAAAAGAUCCUGAAGAUCAUUGGGUCCAGUCAUCCACCUAACUACCAAGUCCAGCACUUAACAGAAGCUGACUGCUCUGCCUGCUCAAAGCCAUCCUACACUCGACAGCAGCAGCUGGCCACAAGUCUUCAGCCAGAACAACCAUUAAAUUACACCAACAAUGACUGAAAUUGCUAACAAGCCAUCCUCCCCACCAGAGAGGGGAAGGGACCGUGACUAGGGGUCUCCAGGCUAUAAAUGAGCCAUGUUGUGACUCGAGAGCCAGACUGCUCUGCCCUACCUGCAGCACACCUGGCCCACAGACCUUCUUGCCUCCAGCAGGAAAGGCCCACUCAUCUGCCCUUCUCCACCCAACACUUCUCUAGCCGAAAGCUCCGGGUGUUUUGUGGUGCAAAAUUGUUCACAGUGGGAGCCUCUGUGGCCACCCACGUUACACUCAAAUGUGCAAAUGAGUCGAGAAGUUCUACAUAAACAACUUGGUACAAUGUGCUGUGAUGCUGCUGUAUUUCUGCACAGUAAUCAUAGAAUCAUAGAAUAACUGGAAGGGACUCAUAAGGAUCAUCAAGUCCAACUCCUGGGAUAAGUUCCUCAAGGUCUUGGCUUGUGCUGCUGUACAGUGAAAAAGAAAAGAGUGGGAGACUCUUCACAGUUACAUUAAUUCCAUUUUAUUUAAUAAAAAACAGUAUCAGAUUAAAAAUACACUUUGGGUGAUUAUCCAGCGUUUUCCCCUGUGUGCCUCCUAGAGCUCAAACCAACCGAGGAUAGGGAGAAAAAAAACCAAUAAAACAAAACAAAAACCACCAAACGAUUUUGGCCGGAGCUGUAAAAUAAUGUUGCACCAAUUAAAUUACACCAAAUAUAUUAUUAUACCUUUGAAAUGGCUUUCAGACCAAUAAAUAAAAAAAAAAGAGACAAAUUCAAAUAAAAAAGUCAACUUUG